rnacentral:tRNA from 1 species
UGGGGUAUAGCUCAGUGGUAGAGCACUUGCCUGGCAUAUGUGAGGCCCUGGGUUCAAUCCCCAGCAUCAUAU